rnacentral:tRNA from 1 species
AAACUUUUAAAGGAUAACAGUUGAUCCACUGGUCUUAGGAGCC